AAGUCGUAACAAGGUUUCCGUAGGUGAACCAAGGAUCAUUAACACGUAGGUGAACCUUCAUCGUGCUCCCCCAUUCCGUUAGGACGCGGCAAUCCCUGGUAAAUCAUCGCCGAACAGUUUUGAUUCAGGGACCUCUGCAUGGAGUGGGCAGCAGCGCGAGGCAAGUGGCCUGGCAUUCGAAAGAAUGGCGCAGUAACGAUCGCUAGAGGCCGACACGGCCGGCUGGGCUCACGCCCUAUCACCUUUGCAUGAAAACGGCGGCCACCAAACUCGAACAACUGUUAACAAUGGAUAUCUUGGUCUC
rnacentral:misc_RNA from 1 species